CGUUGUCAUCUGCACUGUGAUGAGCUGAGCCAGAGCAGAAAGUCACAUUGAUGGAUCUGGAAAGGCAGCCCUGAUGUGCAGCACAGAGGAAGCCCAGCCCAGAUUUCCAGGUGUGGCCCUGCUUGCUCAGGCUGGACAGAGGUGUAAUACAUGUAUAUAUCAUUUAUGACAGAGGUAGUAGCCAUGUUCUGCUGGAACAGAACAGUUCCAAAAUGAAGAGCUCAGUCCCACGCAGAAUACCAGCACAGCUUCUGCUUUCCAGCUCUGUCUCCAGGAAGUUUGAUAAAGGAUCUCAACCUGCAGUGGUUUCUCCACUGAUCUAUAAUUUUUUCAGGCACAAUUGAAUUUGAUUUUUGAAUUCCCCUGAAACAUCAGGCUCUGACUCUGACCUGGCAUCCCAAAAGGAGCUCAGUGAUUUUUGAUUAUCCCUUCCUGCAUGAACAGCACUGGAGCUGCUGUAUAAUUGUUUCUUGCAGUGGGGAUCUCUGUGCUGCUGCUGGGUUCCAGCCCUUUGUGUGGAAUGCCAUCCUCAGCAGUUCCCCAUGUGCCCAUUUUGUCACAGCUCCUUACAGCUCUCAGCCACCCCAGGGAGCUCCUGGAGAAGGGUGACAAUAACCUGAUGCAAGCCCACAGCAGCUGGAUUCCUGGCACUUCACUUGGCUUCUGAUUCUUUACACGUUCUUUCCUUGGGGAACUUUAUUUGCAUGAAAACACAGCACAAUAAUUUGACGACUGCUCACCCUCAUGAUGUGCAGAGAAACAAAGCAGCUCAACAGUGAGCUAAGCAAUCAGUUAUAUUUAAAUUUUUUUCUGAAAUCACACCUCUUUCACUUUCUUUCCUCUGCUGUGACUUACAAAGGUGACUUACAGUGCAGCUGGGUUAUGCAGUAAAAUGAGGAGCUCAGAGCUGCUAAAAAAAAAGGAUUAUUCUUCUGUGAGCUGGGGGAACAAAGCUCCCCAAUAAAGGUCCUGUUCUGCUGUGCCUUUGUGCAGCUCUCAGCACAGAUCCCACUGCUCCCAGUGCCCAUCCCAGCACUCCUCAGUGCCUAAUUCAGUCACCUCACCAAAAUAAGUGAUGUGGAGCAAAUGUGCUCAGCCCUCUGCCUUUCCUUGCAGACCAAAGGGAGAAUUGUGCAAAUUGUGUGUGGGAACGGAGGGGAGCAAGGACAGCAGGACAGCAGCUGAGGAUGGGCCCAUGCACGGGACAGACCUGGGGCUGACAGUGCUGUCCCUGUGAGUGAUGUCCCUGUGGCUGCUGUCCCUUGUCCCCUCUCAAAUAGGGACACUUGCUGGGAGAUGCUGCUGGCCCGAGAA